rnacentral:lncRNA from 1 species
GCACAAAGAUCAACCAAUGACAGGGAGACUUUCAACAUCCCUGGGGGAUAAGAAAGAGAGUAUGACUCAUGAUACCCCAAGGAAAUCCUAAAAGGAGCCACAGCCCUUUGCACACACUGGUCAAGCUUUCUGAAAACCCAAGGACAAUCUGAAUCAGCACUAGCUGAUGUACUGCUAGUUAACCACAUUACUGUUGUUUCAGGAUAUAUAUAUUAAAAAAAAAAACCUCAUGCUGUAUAUUAUCACCUUGAUAAAAGAAUACUAGAGAGGAAAUGGACCCAAACGUUUAUCACUAAAUUCUGGGAUAAUAUGCAGGCUAAUUUUCUUCUAUACAUUUAUUUCCAUGUUCUAAAAUUUCUACAAGGAGCUAUACACACCACUUUUGUAUUAAGAGAAAUCUAACAUUGACAUCCACUAGUGAGUCGCACAGGUGCACAGCAGAGAGCACUCUUGCUCCCUUUGGGUCAGGUGAGGACAAGAAGGACUCUUAUCUUUGGUGAGUGGGGGCACCGCGAACAGAAGCACUCAUUCCCCAGGUAGAAGCAAUGACAGCAGAGCUUAGCCUACCUUAUCCUUAUGCAUGCAACCUGAAGGAAGAAAAACAAAGCAGAUGAGGGCUGAUGGAAAGGCAGUGGACUCAUUCCUAUGGCCCAACCACCCCCACAUAAAUGCCUCAUCAAUUCCUACCUCAGAGCCAAUCAGCAGACUUUCCUCCCUAAGCAUACGGCAGAUUCAAUCACUCAGAUGAUUCUACUAUUAACAAUGCUAGAUAAACAACUCUCAAAGGAGAACAUCUUCCUAAACACCAAGUAGGUGAGAAGAGCAUGAAAAAAUAAAAGUGAACCCAGAGACAGAAGCAGGGUGGUCAGGCUAUCUCCUUGAGAGUCCUUGUCUAUCCAGGUAAACAGGCUUUCAUUUCAACAGCCUCACAGGGUAAAGGGAAGGACCCACUUGAGGCAGGAGUCUGCUAGGACACAUUUUCCUACAGAAAGCUCAGGCCCCAAAGAGCUAUACUCUCAGGCUAAGGGUGAACUAGAAAUUGAGCAUCCCCACCCAGCCCCAGGGAACCUCAAGAAAAGUUGCUUUAAGGCUAAGAAUAACAGAAAGGUCCUGCAGAGUCAUAAUCACAUCUGCAGACCAAACUCAGAUGGAUGCAAGGAUUCUUCAAUAUCCUCAAAUCAAUCAACGUAAUUCACCAC